UUCAUUAGCUUUAUCAGAUGUAGUCUGAUUAUUUAGCUUUUAAUAUAUCAUGCACCCCGUCAUUACUGAAUUGUAUGUGGUAGCUCUCUUUUUUCAUUUUUUUUUUUUAAUUUUGAGAAUACUUGUAUGGAGCAUUAUUAAUUCAGUGCAAGCUGUGAGUGUACAUGCCCCACACCAUCAAGACGUAUUGAAUUUGGUCCGUGUUGUGUGCACCAUCCCAUAGCCCCGUUCUCUCAAGAUCGAGCUAACUAUACAGUUGCAGGAAUAUUGCAUCAAUGGCAAUUAGGAUGGGUAAGCAUGCAGGCUGUUCUGGGUUUUCUCUCAAUUAUAAAUGCAUGGUACUGUAGACUCUAGCUCGGCAUCUUUGAAGCAUAUCUACAAGAUCAGACCUGGGACAUAGACAAAGGGAAAUCAGCAGUGCACCUCUAUGUGCCUGUUUUCACCAUUUAUAGUUGUUCUUUAGCUCUAUUUCUGUUCAUCUACAGUAUGGAAUUUUAACUAUAUCUCAAAGCGUAGCUAGGUAGUGGCAUGAUUCCUACACGCGCGCGCACACACACACAAAUAGCGGCACAAUUCCCAACUUGAGAUAAUAUAAUAUUCUGCAUUGAUUCGAGAUUAUUUUCAAUGUAACGUUGCUUCGAUCAGGAAAGCCGAAUAAAAGCAUAUCUAAAGAAACAAGUGUACAGGUUUGAGGCCAAAUUAGGUAAAAAGUACCCAAGAAAUACAAGUGGGUGGCACGUACCAGAAAGCUUGGCUUGGCUCAUAUGGCAAAGACCGAUCAGUUGCAACCCCCUAACGGGUACACAUUCUAGCUAGCUAGAGCUUGCCUUCGAACUCAGCGAUUGCAUUCUCAUAAUCAAACUGUAGAAGAAACAUAAAUUAAGAAUAUAUCUCGAAAUUAAACCACUGAUCCGGAUAUAAAAAGGAACUUCUCAGCAAUUUCUUGCACUAGGUUAGCUAGUUGGGAUGGAAAUUGUACAUGCCAAUUCCUCAAAAAAUAUAUAUAUCAUCGUUUUGUUAUUGAUGCAAAAUGUAUAAUAGAGCAUUUCUGAUACGUGCAGCACGAGGAUGAUCGCUGUAAGAUCAUGUAACUCAGUUUAGGGCUGCACAAAUCAAACUUAAUUAAGAAGGAAUCAAUUAAUGAUGUAUCAUCUUGAAUUAAGAAAACACUUACCGACAAGAUGAUCAUAUAUAGAAGGAAUGAUAGAUUGACAGGCUUAUUUAAUAACAUAAUCCCAUUGUGCAAGCAACUGAUAAUA